CAGAGAAAGGCAAAUGCCUCCUCUGUACCCCCUGAAAUCAACAGCAUGGACAAACUUGUCAAAUUGCUUUGACCUUUGCUCAGCUGCUUACCAGGCUGGGCUGCAAUGAGGAAGAUCCCCAAACCCAAUUUAUUCUUCGCAAUUUCCCUGCUGUUACCCUUCCCUACCUGGAAGCAAGACCCAGGAAAACCAGCCCAUUUCCCAGACUUUCCCUGAGUGAUUGCAGACACGUGGAGACCUGCAGGAACAGAACUGAGCAGGAAAGGGCAUCUGUGGCCUCAGAUGCUGCACAAGGGAAACCACACACCUACUGCUAAGGAAGUGCUAAGGCCGGUGGGUUGUUUAUUGAAAGCACAGGUGGAGGCAAGGAGAGGAAGCACAUCGCCAGGUAGGUGUUGCAGCACAAAAACCUGAGCACUGACCAAAUCCAAAGGAGCACAUCAGCAGAGAGACCGCUUGAGAACAUCAGGGAAAGAGCUGGAAGACUGCUGUUGUUCAAUAUUCCAUCCCUUCCUAAAUGAAAACCCCUCGUUUUAGGGGACAACAACUUCUGACAAACUAUCACCAGAGGAAGGAUGGAAGCACCCUACAUUCACACUACAAUUCCUAACGCUUGUUCAGGAGAUUCAGCCACCAUACCCCACAGAUGCUGACCCCAGCACCCCUUUGGGGUGAGGAAGGCUCCCUGUGAAGCUACAGCACGCAGGCACCCCAGGAGGGACGGCAGCACCCAGAUGACACCUGUGGCAGAGCCACGAGCAUCGCUCACUGCCCAGAGCACGGUUACACGGCUCCAGGCACUCCGCAGGCGCUGUCAUUGUCCCCCUCUCCCCACAGGACUGGGGGCAGAAACAGCGCCGGGUGUCUCCCCCCCCCCGCAAGCCCGGCCCACCUCGGGCCCGGCUGGAAGCAGGUCCAGGCCCGAAUGGCUCCAGGCCGGGCUCCUGCCGCCCCCUGGCGGCGCCGGGCGGGCAGGGCAGGGCCGGGCCUCGCCGCCUCCCCACUGGCGCUUCCCGCCCCAUUUUCUCCCUGGUCCUUGUAUGCUUCAAGUCAGUUUCUUGCAGAAGCGUCAGACCUCUUUUCCUGAUCUGAAUUAACUCAUUUUCCGUCCUCCCCCCGUACUAGUGCUGACUCUGAUCUCACUGGGGAUUUCCUCAGAAAGCUUCAUUCUCGGCCUGUUUGCUUCAGGCUCAAAAAUCAGCAAGUUCAGCCAGCCCUUGUUGCUUUAAGCUGUGUAGCAACCUCUUAGCCCACCAGCCACCACCUCCUAAAACCCCUUUAGGUUCACUUUGGAGUCCAGUUUUGCCACCCACCACAAAAGCACCACAGCCCCCCUACCCCAUAGCUCCCUGCAGGCAGGGACUUACCUGGGCCACAGCAGCACCAGCAAGAGAAGGCACCUCCAGUCCCCCUCGUUCACUUCCAAGUUUUUCUUCAUAUCACCCCCAAACCUCCCAUGCUCUGCCUGAAAUACCUCUCCCCCUAGAGAAGCCCAAGUGCCCAGCAGUGACCACCCCAGCUCAA